rnacentral:rRNA from 1 species
UACAGAGGGUGCGAGCGUUGUUCGGAAUUAUUGGGCGUAAAGGGCGCGUAGGCGGUGCGGUAAGUCACCUGUGAAAUCUCCUGGCUCAACUGGGAGCUUGCAGGCGAAACUGCCGUGCUGGAGUGUGGGAGAGGUGCGUGGAAUUCCUGGUGUAGCGGUGAAAUGCGCAGAUAUCAGGAGGAACACCAAUGGCGAAGGCAGCUCGCUGGAACGGUACUGACGCUGAGGCGCGAAAGCGUGGGGAGCAAACAGG